GGAGGAAAAGAAACCAACAGGGAUUGCCUCAGUAACGGCGAGUGAAGCGGCAAAAGCUCAAAUUUGAAAUCUAGCACCUUCGGUGUUCGAGUUGUAAUUUGAAGAUGGUAACCUUGGGUUUGGCUCUUGUCUAUGUUCCUUGGAACAGGACGUCAUAGAGGGUGAGAAUCCCGUCUGAUGAGAUGCCCAUUCCUAUGUAAGGUGCUAUCGAAGAGUCGAGUUGUUUGGGAAUGCAGCUCUAAGUGGGUGGUAAAUUCCAUCUAAAGCUAAAUAUUGGCGAGAGACCGAUAGCGAACAAGUACAGUGAUGGAAAGAUGAAAAGAACUUUGAAAAGAGAGUGAAAAAGUACGUGAAAUUGUUGAAAGGGAAGGGCAUUAGAUCAGACUUGGUGUUUUACGAUUAUCUUCUCUUCUUGAGUUGUGCACUCGUAUUUCACUGGGCCAGCAUCGAUUCGGAUGGCAAGAUAAUGGCAGUUGAAUGUGGCUUCACUUCGGUGGAGUGUUAUAGCUUCUGCUGAUAUUGCCUGUCUGGAUCGAGGGCUGCGUCUUUUGACUAGGAUGCUGGCGUAAUGAUCUAAUGCCGCCCGUCUUGAACCACCGGACCA
rnacentral:rRNA from 1 species